CCGCGGCCUGACAGCCCCAAUUAAACAGCGGCUCCCGCGGCCGCGCGCCCGGGCGUCCUUUGGGAGGCGGGGCCGCGAGGCCGGCGCCCGGGCUUAAAGGCACCGCGCCUCCGCCGCCCCUCCCCGCGGGGUGCGGGCCCCGAGACCAGGCCCGACCUAUACCGCGCUGAACCCCGAGCUGGCUACGAUCUGCCCCAGGGGCCCCAGCCCAGAUGCCCUCCCGGAUCCCUUCUGAGGAGCUUAGAUCUGAGCCCCACGGCAAAGAUGCCCUGAGUAGAAGUGUCCAGCUCAUCAGGGUAUCACUGAAGGGAAGGGUGGAAGAGUGAGCAAAGGCCCCCAUAACAUGUCUGCAUCCCUCAGUUAUUGCUAAGCACCCCCAGACUUCCUCAGUUUGGAUGCCCAAUGGUGUGUACAGUGUUCUACUUCUUCCAAUUUGGUCUCAUCCGUAAUCACCUGGAACCCACAAGGCACGUGUGGAGCUGCCGUCCCUGUCUGUGCACUUCUAACCUAGAAUGACACAGAGAAGGGCAAGCCUGGCCACAAUGGAUCUCUGUGGUUUGAAGUUCCUUAUGGAAGAAGAAUCCAUCCUUGGCCCACCCCUGCCUUCCUCCUAACAGGAGGCUGCUAGUUCCCAGAUGACAAUGAUUCCCCACCAGGGUGAGCAGAGCAGGGCUCUUCUGACCGUUCUACAGAUGGGAAAGCUGAGGCCCAGGAAGGGAAGUGUCUUGCCCACAGGGCCGGCACUGGGCCCAGCCACUUACUCAUAUACCCACAGGACCUGGGCCUUGCAUCUGGACUUUAUGUCAGCUCUGGGAGGGCUUCCAACUUCUUUGAUGGAUGAAGAAACUGAGGCCCACGGUCACAAGACAAGCUGUGGCAGAGGACCGGGUCCUGGACUAAAAUCCAGAGGUCCUUUUUCAUAGCCAGGUGUCCCCAACUAGUUCCAGGCACCUCUGUUUAUUUCCUAUCCCCCCUCCAGGGAGGGCACUGGCAGGGUGGGGGACAGACUGGGGGUAGGGAUAAGAAGGCAGCUGUUUACUUCCAUAGAGGGGCUGUUAACUACCUUUCUACUUUUAUAGCAGACAUGGGUAAUUCACCCAGGACCUGAAAAUCUUUGACCUUGGUCAUCACUCCACAGACCAGGCUUUCUAACUGCUCCCCUGGGUCCCUCCAGCCUUUUUCAAGGGCUCCUGCCUCCAACUCCACAGCCCUGUCCCCACACAACAGCCUGAGGAUGUCUGAGAAUGCUUGUGAGCUGGGUCCUUCCCUGCUCCCCAGCCUAAAGCUGCUCCUGGCAUAGUCUGGGCUACUGGCUCUGAGUCUCUGUCCUUCCCUGAGUCUCAGCUGCACUCCACUCUCUUUUGCUCUCUGUCUGGGCUCUGACAAAGUCCAUGUGGCUUCCUCUGCAGUACCUUUGCCUCAGAGGUUCUUGCUUGGGGAGACGGAGAUUGUGGGAGGAUAAUGGAAGGAUGGACAUACAACUCAUGAGUCCCUUUGCUAGAGCUCAUCUCUCCCAGUUCUUUCUUUUGACUGCCUUCUUAUCCUUCCCAGAUCCACUUGUCCCCCUGUAGGCCAGAGUGUGUUCCUAUAAAGUAGCUGGGACAGGAUUAGAACUCACCCCAACAUACUUUUUUCUAGAAACUUGUCAACCAUAAGCAUGUGGUCUUAUGAUUUAAAAUGUUUUUGGAUCUCCUGUCACAUAGCAUGAUUCCGGAAACCUCUCACUUCCAUUCUCCACGUGGCCUUCAGCAUGUCCCGUCUGACCUACGUAGAGUUGCUCAGUGGGAGUCCCUGGAAUCAGAUAGCUCCCUACUAUGCCCCUCUCCCCACAUGGCAGAGUCUCCUGCCAGGUGCCCUGUACCCUUCCCCCAAAGGCUGAGCCACCACUCUGGACUCUUUGUGGACCAAGUGGUCUCUAGGGUCCCAAGCCUAGGUUCCAGGCCCAUAUACCAGCACCCCUCAAGCCUGGAGGAGGGGCGAGGAGGGUUUCUGACUCAGCCAGAAGCCCCAUCUGCUGACACUGAAGUCAUCUCUAGAGAGCCAGAAGCUACU